rnacentral:rRNA from 1 species
GACGUAGGGCGCGAGCGUUGUCCGGAUUUAUUGGGCGUAAAGAGCUCGUAGGCGGCUUGUCGCGUCGACUGUGAAAACCCGCGGCUCAACUGCGGGCCUGCAGCCGAUACGGGCAGGCUAGAGUUCGGUAGGGGAGACGUGGAAUUCCUGGUGUAGCGGUGAAAUGCGCAGAUAUCAGGAAGAACACCGGUGGCGAAGGCGGCCCACUGGUCCGGUACUGACGCUGAGGUGCGAAAGCGUGGGGAGCAAACAGG